ensembl:lncRNA
AAUCUGAUGAGUUCCUGAAAUGUAAAUAUACUCUUUUAUGUAUCUUAAAGUUUUUCUUAGGCUUGGAUCUCAAAACAUAUAUUCCAAUAAUACUCUGCAUGCAUUGUUUUCAUCUUCCUUAGUGUUUCAACUUGCCAUAGUAUUAAGAUCAGAAAUGUGGCAUGAAGGUUACUAAUUAUACUAAUUAUAUAACUUAUUUCCUUUGUUAAAGUUGCAAGUGCUGUAAGUUUAUUCUUGACAUAUCUCUAAAAUGCCAGCUCGAGAGCUAAUCCAAAUGGAAAGAUAUAUGAUAUGAAAAAAUAAAAAGACAAACAAUUACAAGAUAGAUUUCUCCAAAACAAAGUUUAGUUCACUUAGAACAGGAUGACUCAACCUUUUCUGCCAGAAAGUUAGCUAUCCCUUCACUGGGGAAUAAGAGAACACGGAAUGUACUCUUAUACUAGCUCCUGUAAUGUAGAAUUUUUCUUUCCUUAUGCAGUUGAUUUUGUUUGUCAGGCACAGCUUCUCAACCUGUGAUGAAACAUUCAAACAUUACCUAUUCAUUGACUCAUCUAGAAGGGAAUCCAUGGGCCUAGUAGGGAAGUGACACAUUACAGCUGUGCUGAUGUCUUUGCUGUUCUUAGUUGGAGUCCAAAGUAUAGCACAUGUUUACAAGGAUUCAUCUUGUGAUGAUUUUUAUUAUUAUUAUUUAUGCUAACAAAGACAUUGAACAGAAUGGCAAUCUAAAUCUCAGUGGAGUGGAGAGUUAUGUGAAGUGUUGUAACGUGUUUCUCAUGGGAACUAACAGAGGACUAAUAGUAUAAUUUUCUUUAUUCUAAAUGAACAAAAUCUUAAGAGACUCCUUUAUACUCUUUCAAGAAUGUGCAAUUGGUUUCUUUUGUAUGGUAAAAAUCCAUGAAAUUCCAUACAUGAUAAUCUAUAAGUGUCAGAGGAAAAAUGGAAAACUUUUCACCAUGGUUUAGCUAGGCUGAGUCCGUAGGGCCUUCUGAAGGAGACAUCAAUAAUUAGCAGAACUAUUUGUUACUACCUUGUUUUCAGCAAACGAUAGCUAAAGUUUCAAAACAACUACUCAACUGCUAACAGGCAGAACUGGUAGUUCUGUUUGGUGAGAGAAAUCGGUGAUUUAAUAUUGUCAGUGAUUUUAGGGUGUUUUUUUUUUUAUGGCAACAACAGCAAUUUAUUAAUAAAAUCCACAGGGAUCUCAUGACUAACAGAAAGUAAUGGGCCCUCAGCUUUCCCAUACAAGGCCCACUAGUUAGAAAUAAAUAAAUGUAAGCUGAACUGCUGUAGCCUGCAUUGAAAUGCCUAAACAAGUGGUCUGGGAUAAAGUUCAAGCAAAUUCAAGAAGUUGAAAAAAAUUAUUUGUAUUAAUAAGUCAGUGGAUGACUAAAUCUCCAGGUGGAAGAAAGAAGUCAAAUGUGUAGGCAGUCUGAGGAUGUCUUAGGAGAGGCAUUUUCAACAUUAUGUAUGAAUGCCUUUGUAAUCAGUACUGGUAGAAAAAAUAUGAAAAAAUGAAAUAAUGAAAAAAUGUGUACAGUUCUCAACCUUUUGUUUGGGGAAAAGAAGAGGUCUGGAAGAAAAUUACACAUUUUGUGGAAUUUAGAGAAACAAAAGUAAUUUUUUUUUUUUUGAAUGUUAUCCAGAAUAAGGAUAUUGUUCCAUAAGGAACAAAGAGAUAUACAACAUGAAUAAAAUGGGAACUUAGACUGGAAAUUAAAAUGCUUCUGACUUUCAAAGGAGUGAAUUUGUGAAAUAACCAAGGGGAGCACAAGAAUAAAUAUGAUGUGGUUUCCUGCACCUCUCUUAUAUAGAUUUGCUGAGCUUAACAAUAAAGUUAGAGUGAAAAGCAUGAGUGUAAACAAGGUGAGAUAAAGAAGAGUAUGGGUAUAUGAUUAUAUGAUCUGUAUUUUCUGUUAGGAGAAGGCAAGGUGAUUGUGAUGACGAACGAGAAGCCAUCAGCCUUAAAUGGCUCAAAGCACAGGGAAGGGAGACCAACAGCAAGGGGGAAAUGGAGCAAACAGGAUCAGUUUGGGGAUGGACAGCAGAGCAGGUCUGUGAGUGUCCAAGUGUCAGCUGUUGGAAAUGUCAAAAGAAUACUGUUACACCAUAACAAUUGGGGGGAAAAAAAACUGGGCAGUGUGGUGGAGGUGCUGCUGUGCAGGCCUGCUCAGGCAGCUGUUUUGUUAAGCAUAAUUUUCUUGUACAUGACUGAAUCAUAUUUUUCCAAGCUGAGGAAAAAAGAAUCUGAUAUGUUUUCUUGAGAAUUUAUCUGAUGACAGCGCGUUUACUGAACUUCUCACAAAAAUCAUCACAUAAAUAUUUGAUUCUGAUUGCGAUUUCAGCAAGUUUAUUUCCAAGAGCUUGAUUUAUAGAUAAAAUUCUGUGUACCAGUCUCCAAAUAAAACAAAGACUGAGAAUAUGAAAGAGACAAAGUUACUGGGUUUUAUUGUAACAUAUUUUCAGCUACUCCUUUUUAUUUUAAGGAUAUAAACUGCAGAAACUAAGUGAAGAUGGAGAAAAUCCUUUCACUUAUAAUAAUUUGCAUUUCAAUAUUAGCUUCUUUUGCCUUCCUCUCCCAGUCUCUGACAAAUUCCUUGCUGCAGUUCUCACAUGAAAAGUCCUGAAAAGCAAAGCAAACAUCUGAACACUGUUGAAUUAAAAGAUUGAAGUAAUACAACACUAUUCAGGUUAACAUAAAUGUAAAGAACCAGUUAUAAUCUGAUUUAAUUACAUGACUAGAGACUUUCUGUCAGUGGAGUAAAUUUCUGAUUUACAAAGAAGGCCUGGAUGCAUUGGAACAUUUAUACUUCUUUUUUUUUUCCCAUGGUCAUGGUUUUAGAGAAUGAACUUCUGACCAUAAGGAGGCAUACAAGGAAACGAACAGGUUCCACUGUCCAUCACUGCAGAGCGGAGCUAUUCUCUGCUUGUGAGUUGAGCUCAGAAUUCACUUGCUGCUAAGCCUGGUGAAAAUAAGUGGAAAUUCUAUUAAGUCUCUUGCUCUCCACUUCUUUUGGAUCAGAAUCUCAUUACUUUAAAGUACUGUUACUGAAACAGUUUGGCAUCAAAUGCCUGAAAUGUGUCCUUAUUUCUUGAAAUUAGUACUAAUUCUAGCGGUAGUUGAAAGUAAUUUUAGGAGUGUGAACUGGUGCACUGAGAUUAUAAAUUGGCACUGCAGAUGUUCUUUUCAAUUCAUGAAAGCCAGUGGAAGUUUUAUCUGGCUGAGGACUUAGUGCCCAGCGUGUCAGGGCCUCAUCCUGGCUUUGCUCAUAUGCACAUUUUGUGAAUUCUUUUUAUGAGUUGCCAUAGAGCAUGUAUGAAUACCUUUUUUCUUUCUUGAGGAUGGAAGAAACCUUUCAAACACGGUUAGCAGGCCAUACAUUUUCCAAGUACUUCAUGACGUCUAACUUUAAUAUCAAAAAAAAAUUAUGUGGUAAUUUGCAUGAAGUCAGAACUGAUGAACUUUAGAUUUCUUAGCCCUGCCAUAAAGGAAGCAGUCAGGUCCAGUCAACAUGAGAGAUGAGAAGCUUUUAUUUACUCUUCUGCUGAAUCCCAAAGGAAGAAUAAGGUCAGGGAGAGGACGUUAAACUGUACAAUAUUUGGGCAGUGAGCUCUGCACAACGUAAAUUGAAUAUACAAUUCAAGUACAAGCUUGGUAAAGGAAUCCUCACUGUGUAUAUGAAAUGUUUCCCUGAUGAAUAGUCAAUGGCUCUGGUUUGUGUUUAAAUUCCUCCCUCUGCACUCAUGCAUUUAGGAAACUAGGUUGGAAAAGAUUCAUUUCUGUCAUUACCAGGCUUACUGGAACAAACAGGAAUGCUUCCACUGUGAAGAAAUUCUUUAUGAAAGAGACACUGAAGCAGUGGUGUCAGCUCUUCCAAGUACAGCGCGUGAAUGGGACCAUCAGCUACUCCAGAUUUACUCAGAAUAUUUGACCCAGUAUUUUAAAGAUAUGGAGGUUUCUGUCACUCACGGCCUGCUGUCCUUCUGUGUCAGAGGAAACCCAGUGUAAUGAGACAUGCUGCUAAGAAGGUUCUGGAGGAGGCUAGAGCACUCUUACCUGCAAUACCUGAGGAAUGUGCUUUUGUAGAACACUCAAAACGUACUUAUGAUUCUUCGGGCACAUAAGGCUGGACAGUCCAUUCACAGAUGGCCUUGAAGUCUUCAGCUUCUCUUGGUAAAGUAAUCUAUCCAUUCACAAAUAUCAACAUUUGUUCAAGGUACAGACUUAUUUUUUUUCAUUAUCUGUCAAAUCAUUCACAUUCUGAAAUACACUGUGAAUUGCUCUCAGAAGCAUUUCUUAUCAUUCUAAUGUGGCAUUCCUCAUGACUAAGAAAUGGUUAUUCAUCAUGACUCAUUAGACUCAAACAUAUUAAAUUUGUUUCAGAAAUAGAUAUUCACUAUGUGGGAAGUAAAAGGCAACACUAGUUUAUAUGUAAAUAGUGGGCAGUAAAAAUAGGUAGGAAAGAGCAGAUCAUAUUUAAAAAGAUUAAAUGUUACAGAAAACACAUGAUCAUCUACCCCUGUAACUAAGUAACAUCUAUUGGAAAGGGACACAAGCUUCUUCAGUAAAGAAACGCACAGAACCGUGGCGGUGUGCCUUUAACCGAUAGCUUCCUGCUGAAUAAGUGCUGAGGGCAUUCCUGAAAUUCCCAGAAGAAGGCUGCUGGCGGGAGCACGCUGUCGUGGCUCUGUUUUGUCCCAGUUCUGUGCUGACGGCUGUGCUGCAUCCACGCAGACACCGGCUGUCCUUUGCAGCCAUAUAUGGACAACACCCGGAUUGAACUCGGCCCUCUUCUGUCCCCGGAACUCUCUGAGGUCUCAUGUUACGGAUUUCUAGUGAUGUAAUUAUAUGCAUCCAGUGACCAAAUUUGGUAGCUACCUCCUGGAGGCAUGGUUGGAGGUUCUUUUUUUUAAAUUAUAAAUCUCACCUCAAUUAGAUAAUUUCUUCCUUAAUUUAUUUUUAAAAUGUCAGCAUUUUUUUUAAGCUUUUGCCAGAAAUCUUAUAGAUUGGCAAUCUGCUUUAUUUUUCUCAGCAAACAAAGUUCUCUGUGACUAAAGUUCAUGUUGUAGCAUUUGAAAAAGGAUUCAAAUUUCUAUAUAUUUACAAAACUGACUAAAGAAUGGAAUUGCAAAAGUAAAAUAAGCCCUGAGGUUACAGCAUUGUCUGUACAUCUCUGUAGAAAGUGCAAGCUGUGUAUGAGUUUCUGAGAAAUCAUAAAAAGGUCUUCUUUCAGGUUAGAAAACAAAACUUUUCAGACACUAAAAUUAAUUAGUCAGAAUUUUCUUCAGAGGAGAAGUAUCGCAGGAAAAAAAAUAUAAAGGGCAGGUAGCAACAGGGCGAAGGGAUGCCUCUUUAAACUGGAAGAGGGUAGGUAAUUAUUUACUGUAAGUAAUUCUUUACUGUAAGGGUGCUGAGACACUGGAACAGGUUGCCCAGUGAGGUUGUGAACGCUCCCUCCCUGAAAGCAUUCAAAGCCAGGCUGGAGCAACCCUGGUCUAGAGGGAGAUGUCCCUGCCUAUUGCAGGGGGGGUUGUCCAUUUCCAAUCCAAACCAUUCUAUAGUUCUCUGAAUAUUAAAUCUACUAAAUGAUAAAGUUAUUAUCAACACAGCACAUUUAACAACCAGUUAUAUGUUGUCACUGCUUUCUUUAAGCAGAAUAGCUAACCAUCUCUUUCAUUACUACCCAACAGUUCUGGCCACUCUGAAAUUAUAGUUGUGUUAAUCCAAACAUAGAGGGAAUCAAAUAACAAAAGGCUCUCUCAACCUGCUUUUACCCAAUCAGAGUCAUGUUUCUAGUGUUGUUUUGCUCAUAUAUUAGAGUUAUCUGGUUGUUUAUUUUCUCUUCCUACUCUGUAUUGCUGGCAUUUGUGUUAGAUUUCCUCUGUCCACUUCCACAUAUUCAAUUAUUAAAAAAUAUUAAAAAUAUAUCUUCAAUAACAACUAGAAUUUACAUCCAAUCUAGAAUAAGUAUAUAUGUAUACAUACACAUCUUCAAAUCACCUGUUGUGACAUACCUGAGACUAUGAAUUAUGUUGCAUUAUGUGCAACAGUCAGCAUACUUUGUUCUACAUACAGUUGUACAUACAUUGGCCCUAAGCAUGGACAAUAUUGACAGGUACUAGAAACGAAGUCAAAACAGGUAGUAGAAAACAAACUGUUCCAGCACAGACCAUAUCACAUUGAAUGAUAUGACACAAAUGUUUGGACUGGAUGAUCCUGUGGGUCUUUUCCAGCCUUAGCAAUUCUAUGUAUUUUUUUUCCUCUAGCACUAUUUUUUUUUGUUCUAGCACUGUUUUGCCCACACAAUGCCUUACAUUCAGUCCCUCCAGCCUUCUUUACAUAUUAGCUAACAGAAAGUCAGGAGUUUUAUACAAUAUGCAAAGAUUUUGUAGAUUUCCUAUAAUAUGCAUCAUUAAUGUGGUGCAUUUCCUUCACAUUCCUAUACAUGACUAAAAAGUGAAGUUGUUUGUUUUGAUGAGGAACUUAGAGACCUAGAGGAUAACCUAUACUUAAAAAAAUGCUAUGAGAAUUAAAUGUAAGCUUUACAGUGAAAACACUGAGAAACAAUUCAAAUACAUUUGAAGAAAUCUAGCUUUGUAGCAUUGAGCUUCUUGCUAUAGCAUGAAGUAUUUAGGAACUGUAAUCUAAAACACACAGAUGUGUAAGGACAGAUUAAUUUGUCUUACUGUUCUUAUAAUUCAAUACAUCCCCAGAUACAUUGCAUCCAACAUUGCAGAUACAUUGCUUCCCUUGCAUCCAACCCUGAAUUCUGAAACUUUUUUUUACUGUAUGUUUGUUUAAUGUGUAACACAACAGGCCCAGAGGCUAACAUCAGGAGUACCUAGCAACUCCAGAAGUAUAAUUAAUAUUUUAACUAGGAAAAAGAGAGCAGAUGAUGGAGCAAAAUAUAGCAAACAAAAUUAUGAGUAAUGAGUAUUUAUGACAUACUGUAGUGUCUGUCACAAAUGAAUACGUAGAACAGAUACCAAAUAUAACAAAAUGAAGGCCCUCUCACUGAAGUACUCACUUGUCUAAGCUGAGACAAUGCAUGUAUCUAAGAAAGAGUGAAAACAAGAUGGAAAUAAAACCCUUGGAUUAAAUUGGUAAUCAUAGCACAUCCCUUGCUUGUUUUUGCUCUGUAUUUCUACUAAACGGAGAGGAAUACAUCUAAGCAGGGAUUAAAUGAAACCCAACAGAACAUCCAGUGAGUGCUUAUGAGCUACAUAAUGUUUCAAAAACUUGAGGCUUCCUUACUGGAAAGUGUUGGGAAUAAUUCCAAAUCUGAGUUUAUCAACUACUAUCCUUGUUAUUCUACCUUUUAUUAAAAUAUCUCAGGUGACACUAAAAAUGUUUGUUCUCUCUGCCAAAUGUUUUCUGAAGCCAGAUAAUUUGGUUUGCUAUUUACAUUUGAAAGUGCUGUCAAUGAAUUAAAGUUUCAUCAAAACAUCCUGUUUCAUCAAGAUGGAGCUGUUUUAAAGACCAUAAGUUUCAACAAAGCUUUCAUCAGCAGUGCGUCUAAGGUGAAUGCAUUCAAGCUCAUUUCUGACCUGAAUGAAAUUGCCAUAGCAUCAUAUGUAAGGCACAAAUUACUGCAGAAGGGAGAAAAGACCUCUAGUGGGCAUAUACCAGGCAUCACUAAGAGCUGAAGGAUUCACAUCAUCCUCCUAGUUUGAAAAACAGAAUCACAAUGAAAAAACGCCCCUAAAGGAGACACCAGAAAAUGCAUUUAUUUAUUGUCUGACUGGAAAAGAAGCUGUAAGCAUGAUCUAGAAUAAUAAUAAAAACAAUUAUCUGUCACCUUUCCCACAAAUCCUGUCUGUAUGGAAAAAAGAAGCAACAAGAAUAUGAGGGUUCCACCCCAACAAUAAGAUGAUGACAAGACACUGCCAUAGUCUUGUCUCAUACUCCUAGAGAGUGCUAUCUCUAUGAGCAGUGAACUGUAGCUUCUGACCUGGAUUUUGUCUGACAGCUUCCAAUCAGGCCGCACAGUCUGAAUUUGUUUAGACCAUCUGGUUAAUCCAGUCAGUACAAAAACAGAAAUUUAAUUUCUCCUCCCAAAAAAGGGAGAGGAAAUAAAAAGGUAGCAGCUAUUCCUCAAACCACCAACAGAAAAAUGCCUAGUCUGACCGAGCACGUACACUGGUUUAGUAAACAUCCAAAAUGCACUGGUGGAAUAAACCAAAUUCAGAUUCAUUGAACCAGAAAGCCUUUAGAAAGAAGAAUCAGGAGUGAAAGUCUGCCUGCUAUUUGCAUAACAAAGAAGAGAAAUCUUGGUAAGGGAGAUCUUGUCUUUUAAUUAUUAUUAUUUUUUUUGCUUACAAUAUAUACAACAGAAGGUAGAAAGCAAACAAGCUACUGCUUUCCAGGAUCCUUUUGCAGAAAGACCAAAAAAAGAAAGUAUGAACUGAAAUCUCUCAUCCUGAGCUUGCCCAUACAGUCAGAAGAGGAACCUGGGCAAGUUCAUCAAAACUGUGAUUGCUCUUGAUGCUAAGUAUGUAAAAACAACCAUUCCAGAAGCUGUAACUUUGUCACCAGAACAGUUUCUUGAAAUAUUGAAAUAGGUCCUACUUGAGUUUUAACAGCAAUAAAGGUGCAGAUAUCUAAAGAUGGAACAUCUGAAGGCUCUUCUUCUGUUCUUGUACUUAGAAGUGAAGAUGUUAACAGAGAGAAUCAAUGACUGGCAGGCAAGCAGAUAACACUGUAAACAAGCUUCAUAAUACUUCAUCUACAUUUGUGGCUAUAAUCAAUAAAGGACCCAUAAUCCAGGGAUGCAAAAAGUGUUAUUGCCCUUCUCCUGUCAUCCUGUAUCCUUUAGAGAGCAACGUCCCCACUGAUCGGUGUGAUGUUACUGGUGCAGAACUUGGACAGGUUGCCUUCAGCUGUGGAUGGCUUUCUCCCUGUCCUCCUUUGCAUUCUAUGUGAAUAUGGACAAUAGGGAGCGUGCUGAGAUGGGAAGGUCUUGCAGGGGGUACUGAAGGGUGAAUAAUGAAAAGCUGCUGCAGGAGGCACCUUCCAAAAAAGAGCUCCACAGAGCAGAAAUCCUAUUUAGUGAUGAGAAGAAACUUCAAAGCUAUCCCCCUUUCAGGAGUGUGAGACAUUUCACAGACUGUUAUUCUUAGAUCUAGAUAACACUUACUAUCAGUAGUGAAGAUAAAAAAGAGUUAAUACACACCUCAUGCUGUCUUCUUCUGAAGGUAUCAUUGUUUUUAAUUUUUAAUCCAUCUGCAGGAAUUCAUUGCUAUGCUUUUUUUUUUUUUUCCCCAG